rnacentral:rRNA from 1 species
UUUAGAGUUUGAUCCUGGCUCAGAUUGAACGCUGGCGGCAGGCUUAACACAUGCAAGUCGAGCGGUAGCAGGGGGUGCUUGCACCCCGCUGACGAGCGGCGGACGGGUGAGUAAUGCAUAGGAAACUGCCCAGUAGUGGGGGAUAGCCCGGGGAAACCCGGAUUAAUACCGCGUACGCCCUUCGGGGGAAAGCAGGGGAUCUUCGGACCUUGCGCUAUUGGAUGUGCCUAUGUCGGAUUAGCUAGUUGGUGGGGUAAAGGCCUACCAAGGCGACGAUCCGUAGCUGGUCUGAGAGGAUGAUCAGCCACAUCGGGACUGAGACACGGCCCGAACUCCUACGGGAGGCAGCAGUGGGGAAUAUUGGACAAUGGGGGCAACCCUGAUCCAGCCAUGCCGCGUGUGUGAAGAAGGCUUUCGGGUUGUAAAGCACUUUCAGUGAGGAGGAAAACUCUGCGACUAAUACUCGUAGGGCUGGACGUACUCACAGAAGAGCACCGCA